GGGGAUGACUCUUUCCACAGGAGUAUCCAUUCAAAUGAUACCUCUUCCAGUCAACAGAUUUCAACACAUGGAAAUCUGAGACCAGCAUUUUUAUAUUUAUGACAUGGAAAAGCUCAUUGGAAGUGGUCCCAACAUCUCCUCAAUGUAACGUUGUCUUUUGAAUGCUGGAGAAGUAAAAGUGGAUUCUGUAGAGGCAUUUACCGUUAUUCAUACUUGAGACUGAUGAGGACAGCUAGAAUCUCCACUCUGCAGUACCUCUGACUAAAAAGAGAAAGAUAAACAAGAGAAAAUUGGUGUCCCAUCAAGUUCUGAUGUAUGCAGCAGACCUGAUAAGAGAUGAGAAAUGCCACUCCUGGGAUCUCCAUGGGUUAUUUUUAUGCACAACUGUUCAAUGACAGCCAGUCGCAGAGGCUGGAAAGCAGUUUUAUUGUUCUGGUGGGGCAGCUGCUAUUCCUCAUCCACCAGCAGAGUAGAAAGGGA
ensembl:lncRNA